UGGAGCAAAUCCCUAAAAGCCGUCCCAGUUCGGAUCGCAGGCUGAAACCCGCCUGCGUGAAGUUGGAAUCGCUAGUAAUCGCGGAUCAGCAUGCCGCGGUGAAUACGUUCCCGGGCCUUGUACACACCGCCCGUCACACCAUGAGAGUCGGGAACACCCGAAGUCCGUAGUCUAACCGCAAGGGGGGCGCGGCCGAAGGUGGGUUCGAUAAUUGGGGUGAAGUCGUAACAAGGUAAC
rnacentral:rRNA from 1 species